CAGUCAAAUUAUCAGUCGUUUCUGGCUUCGGACUGAUCGGCGAAUAAAAUAUAUGAAAUACUUGACUUAACAGAGUGAAGGCAUUUUCAGAAACUCUACGAGCUCGUGAAAGACUGUAGUUAAAAAUAGCUUUUUUUUGGUCAGUACUAGCAACUCGACGAGAGAAAGGUUUCAUCAUGUUUGGAUGUAAUCGAAAUGCCUCAUCGCCUACAAAAGCAUGUGGCACUACUAUGUCUGAAUCCGACAGCUUAGUAGGUGGAUGAAACAUCUUACCACUUGAAAACAGUUUCCCGAUAUAACUUUUAUCAAAAAUUCCACUGUCUCCUUCUUUCCCAUAUGACCCAACAUCAAUGAAAAUGAAUUUAUAGUUCGUGUCAAACACAGCAAGAGGGACGGUAGAGAAAAAAACGUUUGUACUUGUAAUACAAUGAACCUGACAGUGCAGGGGAAAAAAUUUGCACGUUUUCCGUCUAUGGCACCAACACAGUUAGGAAAUUGCCAUUUUUCUUCAAAUUCCUUACAUUUUGAUUUCAACUGGUCAGAUGACAUCGGUCGGAAAAGGAUUGGCAGUAACUUCUUACAUAGAACUGACAGAACAACUAGUAUGAUUUUAUCGGUGUAAGAAGCAGAUAUUCUGAAUGCAAAUGCCAGUUAUCUGAAUGUUUCCCCCAUUGCCAUAAACCUAAAAAUAAGGCAGGUGUAACUGUAAAAAUUACUUUUAUUUUUACAUCUAACAAAUAUUAAUGAACAUAAUUAUUGACUCUAUUGUGUUUUAUAGUUGAAGACUGCAAAAAAGAUAAAAGAAUAUAAAAGACACAUACCAAAAAAAGCAAGGAAAAGGAAACAAUACUGGAAAUUCUGCUUCCAGUAAAGGAAAUAAAUGGCCAGUGGCUAAUAUGUUAAAAUUUUUAAACAAAAUGGAUCACAAGUGAGUAAGUACAUCCAACGUUGAGGUAGAUGAAAUGCAAAGCCCACAAUAUGAUGGUGAACCAAGUAACAGAGAGAUGUGCCAGACAUCGCCAACUUUGUCAGAAAAAGAAAUUUUUUUCCGAAGACGAGGAAGACAUCGCGUCGUUCAGACCACCCAAGGAAAAGGUCAUGACAAAAUGAAAAAAAUCAUGGAGUAGUUGAAUUCUCGGCGGGCCGAGAGAAAAACGUUAAUGAAAAGACUGGCUGAAGAAAAGCGUGAUGAUUACAUCGAUUUAUUUUUUAAAAGUAUCGCCCUCAACAUAAAAAAAAUAACUACAGGAAUUUCACAUCUGUCUUCAAAAAUCAAAUGGUUUAGCAAAUAUUCUAUAGUAAUCACAAAGUCCCAAAAAUGAAAGCAGUUGUUCUGCUGUUUACGGCACUAAGAAGUUAAAUACAACAGAAAUGAACCAUGA